AAUCAACGCUGGCGGCGUGCCUAACACAUGCAAGUCGAACGGGAAAGCACUUUUCGGAGUGCGAGUAGAGUGGCGAACGGGUGAGUAACGCGUGGGUGAUCUGCCCUUUGGUGGGGGAUAACCCGGGGAAACCCGGGCUAAUACCGCAUGAGCCUGUAUUUGUAAGCGAGUGCAGGGAAAGUUUUUGGAUGCCGAAGGAGGAGCCCGCGUCCGAUUAGCUAGUUGGUGAGGUAAGAGCUCACCAAGGCGACGAUCGGUAGCCGGUCUGAGAGGACGGACGGUCACACUGGGACUGAGACACGGCCCAGACUCCUACGGGAGGCAGCAGUGGGGAAUUUUGGGCAAUGGGCGAAAGCCUGACCCAGCAACGCCGCGUGGAGGAUGAAGGUUUUCGGAUCGUAAACUCCUGUCUAGAGGGACGAAGCAAGUGACGGUACCUCUGGAGGAAGCCCCGGCUAACUCCGUG
rnacentral:rRNA from 1 species